rnacentral:rRNA from 1 species
UACGGAGGGGGCUAGCGUUGUUCGGAAUUACUGGGCGUAAAGCGCACGUAGGCGGCUUUGUAAGUUAGAGGUGAAAGCCCGGGGCUCAACUCCGGAAUUGCCUUUAAGACUGCAUCGCUAGAAUUGUGGAGAGGUAAGUGGAAUUCCGAGUGUAGAGGUGAAAUUCGUAGAUAUCGGGAGGAACACCAGUGGCGAAGGCGGCUACCUGGCCCACUCUUGACGCUGAGGCGCGAAAGCUAGGGGAGCAAACGGG